UAAACAUUGCAGUAAACUGAACAUGGACGGGGACACAAAGAAAAAACAGGGUGUUUUGGAUCGGCUUAAACAAGGUCCCAUAGUAGGCGAUGGUAGCAUGUGUAUGACAUUGGAAAAAAGAGGUUACUGCAGGGCUGGACCGUGGACGCCCGAAUCUGUUUUGAUCUACCCCGACGCCGUGAAGCAACUGCUUCGUGAAUACGUUAGAGCUGGGGCUGAUGUUAUACAAACCCCGUGCUUUUAUUGCUCCGAUGGGAUGAUUAAAAGAGGAGCGGGCGGGGAAGAAACCGUAUCGUAUACAACAGCGGCAAUCAACGAGGCUGCUUGCAAACUUGCGCACGAAGUUGCGAGUGAAGGAGAGGUUUUAGUUUGUGGCGGAUUGUCCCCUGUAUUUCUUUCUCAAAGAAAGAGAUUUCGAAAAGACCAGAUUGGAAUUCAAGGCUCAACUUGAUGUGUUUAUUAAAUACAAAGUUGAUUUUGUGUUGGCUGAGUUCUUCAGAUGCGUUGAAGAAAUUGAGAUAUGUGUUGACGUAAUGAAACGUGCGAACAUACCUAUUGCUUGUACAAUGGCCCUUGGUCCACUAGGUGACCAUAAUGAUGUUUCUGUGGAAGAAUGUGCGAUCAGGAUGGCAAAAUCUGGUGCUGAUAUCAUUGGUAUCAACUGCCUGUUUGAUUUCGACACCUGCUUAAAAACUUUGAAGAUAAUGAAGGAUGCUUUGGAUGGUGAAGGCUUAUCGACACCACUGAUGUGCCAACCACUAGGUUGGAGGUGUCCGGAGGUUGAGAACACCAAGAUGGGAUAUCUGGAUCUUCCCGAAACCCCCCUAGCUUUAGACCCACGCACAGCAACAAGGUUUGAGGUCCACAAGUUUACUCGGGCAGCAUACAAUCUUGGGGUGCGUUAUAUAGGUGGUUGUUGUGGUAUGGAACCUCACCAUAUUAGGGCAAUCGCUCACGAGCUUGCACCAGAAAGGAAGAGGAAUCCACCCGCACAAGACAUGUGCCCACCCCUCGGCUACCUUCAAUACAGUGGGCUAUCUAAUAUUAAAACCAAAACAUGUCCCAAGUAUUGGAGUGACAUGAAGCCUGGUAGUGGUCGGCCGUAUAACCCAGCGUGCUCAAUGGGUCAAGAUGGACAUUGGACCUGAAUAAGUCAUGUUCAUGCUUUAUAUAUAAGUAUAUUUGCACAUACGUUCACGCUUAUACAUGUACAAUUGCUCAGUUUGUUUCUGCUUUUACAUCUUCAAUCAUAUUGCUGGGUUUGGCUUUCGCUUACUAUGGUAAUAAACAAUGGGUUUAACUCACAAUA